CGGGUUUCGCGAUCUGCGAACAGUCCGCUAAAACUGUGUUCGUUGUCGUCGAAACCUGCCU
rnacentral:pre_miRNA from 1 species